GAAGGCCCAACAAAGCCACCAAAAAAGGAGAAAAGAUCGUUCCAUAGUAUGGUAAUGAAGUGUGAAGUAAAUAAUAGAGGUGUUGCAACAUAAUAAAAUGAAAAGAUCUUAGGUAAUAGAGAAGCUGUAUAGUUGCAUUUGAAUAAUUCUAUUUGUAGCAUACUGUAGUAGCAAAGCACCAUGUGAGCUGUAUAACAUUGUCCAGUUUGUUUUUAAGAGAUCUGUGUAAGUAAUGUCUGCUUCCAUGUAAUUAUAGGUUGUUCUUUUCUCUCUGAAUGUAGUCUCAGUACAGAAAUUAUGUAUAGGAAAACCAAGUCUGAUUAUUAUUUUUUUUUUCCCAAUCUUGCUGGCUUCAAGAUUAGAAAAUGUUUUCUGUUUUAUGAUGCUAGGGCAUUUCAUUGAAAAAAUAAAACUAUAUCAUACAGCA